rnacentral:rRNA from 1 species
AUGCAAGUCGAACGGUAACAGCAGAGCUUGCUCUGGCUGACGAGUGGCGCACGGGUGAGUAAUAUAUAGUUAAUGUACCUUCAAGACCGGGAUAGCCAUUGGAAACGAUGAUUAAUACUGGAUAUACCUGUUUAUCAUAAGAUAGAUAGGGAAACGUUUUUCGCUUGAAGAUCAGACUAUAUCCCAUCAGUUAGUUGGUAGUGUAAGAGACUACCAAGGCAAUGACGGGUAGCGGGUUUGAGAGGAUGAUCCGCCACACUGGUACUGAGACACGGACCAGACUCCUACGGGAGGCAGCAGUGAGGAAUAUUGCACAAUGGAGGAAACUCUGAUGCAGCAACGCCGCGUGGAGGAUGACGCAUUUCGGUGUGUAAACUCCUUUUAUAAGAGAAGAUAAUGACGGUAUCUUAUGAAUAAGCACCGGCUAACUCCGUGCCAGCAGCCGCGGUAAUACGGAGGGUGCAAGCGUUACUCGGAAUCACUGGGCGUAAAGAACACGUAGGCGGAUUUUUAAGUCUUGAGUGAAAUCCUAUGGCUCAACCAUAGAACUGCUUGAGAAACUGAAAAUCUAGAAUCUGGAAGAGGUAGAUGGAAUUAGUAGUGUAGGGGUAAAAUCCGUAGAUAUUACUAGGAAUACCAAAAGCGAAGGCAAUCUACUGGGACAGUAUUGACGCUGUGGUGUGAAAGCGUGGGGAGCAAACAGGAUUAGAUACCCUGGUAGUCCACGCCCUAAACGAUGAAUGCUAGUCGUCGGGAGGCUUAAGUCCUCGGUGAUGCACUUAACAGAUUAAGCAUUCCGCCUGGGGAGUACGGUCGCAAGAUUAAAACUCAAAGGAAUAGACGGGGACCCGCACAAGUGGUGGAGCAUGUGGUUUAAUUCGACUAUACGCGAAAAACCUUACCUAGCCUUGACAUUGAUAGAAUUUCGCAGAGAUGUAGAAGUGCCCUUCGGGGAACUUGAAAACAGGUGCUGCACGGCUGUCGUCAGCUCGUGUCGUGAGAUGUUGGGUUAAGUCCCGCAACGAGCGCAACCCUCGUCUUAGUUGCCAGCAGGUUAAGCUGGGCACUCUAAAGAGACUGCCUUCGCAAGGAGGAGGAAGGUGAGGACGACGUCAAGUCAUCAUGGCCCUUAUGGCUAGGGCUACACACGUGCUACAAUGGGGCGUACAGAGUGUUGCGAUACCGCGAGGUGGAGCCAAUCACUUAAAGCGUCUCUCAGUUCGGAUUGGAGUCUGCAACUCGACUCCAUGAAGCUGGAAUCACUAGUAAUCGUAGAUCAGCAAUGCUACGGUGAAUACGUUCCCGGGUCUUGUACUCACCUCCCGUCACACCAUGGGAGUUGAUUUCGCCCGAAGCGGGGAUGCUAAACUGGCUACCCU